CCGGAUACCACGCGGGGUGUUGUUUCAGCCUUCCAAGCUGAAUACCCGGGUUCGAUUCCCGGUACCCGCUCCA
rnacentral:tRNA from 1 species